rnacentral:SRP_RNA from 2 species
GCCCCAGAGAUCCGGGCUGUAGUGCACUAUGCCAAUUGGGUGUCCACACUAAGUUCAGCAUCAAUAUGGUGACCUCCAGGUUGCCUAAGGAGGGGUGAACUGGCUGAAGUCAGAAAACACAAGUCAAAACUCCUGUGCUGAUGAGUAGUGGAAUCGCACCUGUGAAGAGCCACUACGCUCCAGUCUGGCUGGAGC